rnacentral:lncRNA from 1 species
CUCCUUCCAGUUAAAUGGUGAACGAGAUGGAUCUUUAUAUCAGCAACAGAAUGAACAUCGAGGCACAAACCUUUCCAGGAAAGAGAAGAAAGAUGUGCCAAAGCCUAUUAGCAAUGGUCUUCCCCCAACACCUAAAGUACAUAUGGGUGCAUGUUUUUCAAAGGUUUUUAAUGGGUGUCCCUUGAAAAUUCACUGUGCAACAUCCUGGAUAAACCCAGAUACACGAGG